UCGGGAAUUUUGCGCAAUGGACGAAAGUCUGACGCAGCAACGCCGCGUGAGGGAUGAAGGCCUUCGGGUUGUAAACCUCUUUUAUCAGGGAAGAUGAUGACGGUACCUGAUGAAUAAGUCACGGCUAACUACGUGCCAGCAGCCGCGGUAAUACGUAGGUGACAAGCGUUGUCCGGAUUUACUGGGCGUAAAGAGCGCGCAGGCGGUCGAUCAAGUCGAGUGUGAAAGCCCCCGGCUCAACUGGGGAGGGUCAUUCGAUACUGAUCGACUCGAAGGCAGGAGAGGGUAGUGGAAUUCCCGGUGUAGUGGUGAAAUGCGUAGAUAUCGGGAGGAACACCAGUGGCGAAGGCGACUACCUGGCCUGUUCUUGACGCUGAGGCGCGAAAGCUAGGGGAGCAAACGGG
rnacentral:rRNA from 1 species